rnacentral:rRNA from 1 species
GGCGGCGUGCUUAACACAUGCAAGUCGAACGCGAAAGGGACUUCGGUCCUGAGUAAAGUGGCGCACGGGUGAGUAACGCGUAGAUAACCUGUCUUCAUGUCUGGAAUAAUACGCCGAAAGGGGUACUAAUACCGGAUAUUCUUGCUUUUCAUAAGUUAUGCAAGCAAAGGUGGCCUCUGCAUAUGCUACUGCAUGAAGAGGGGUCUGCGUACCAUUAGCUAGUAGGUGGGGUAAUGGCCUACCUAGGCGACGAUGGUUAGCGGGUCUGAGAGGAUGAUCCGCCACACUGGCACUGGAACACGGGCCAGACUCCUACGGGAGGCAGCAGUGAGGAAUAUUGCGCAAUGGGGGAAACCCUGACGCAGCGACGCCGCGUGAGUGAGGAAAGGCCUUCGGGUCGUAAAGCUCUAUCAAGAGGAAAGAAGUGUACAAUGGCUAAUACCUGUUGUAUUUGACGGUACCUCUAAAGGAAGCACCGGCUAACUCCGUGCCAGCAGCAGC